rnacentral:misc_RNA from 1 species
AACGCACCUUGCGCUCUCGGGUUAUUCCCGUGAGCAUGCUUGUUUGAGUGUCGCGAAACUCUCAACCCCGCCCAAUCUUCAUUGACUGGGUUGCCUGGGCUUGGAUCCUGGUCCCUUUUGCUGGUUUUGCCUUUGCGCCCAGCUGGACUGAAAUGCAACAAGCUGAAUCGAUAUACGUGCGGCUUGACCUGUUGUUGUAAGCAAUUUACAAUGGGGACGCACGAGAACUGAACGAGCUUUUCAAAUGCUUUACCGCUUUGUGGACCCCUCUCGAGGGUGACCUUAGUGCAUUCUGACCUCAAAUCAAGUAGGACUACCCGCUGAACUUAA